GACAAGGGACCCUACAUCCAACACUACCUCAUUGAGAUCCACAACGAAGGCUCCUCCUACUCACUCCAAGCUUCUGAAAACCCGCUUCGACACCCUUCCUUCGCUCAUCACCUAUUAUUCUCAGUGCUGCGAAGAGUUGCUGGCUCAGCUCAAGCUUCCUCGCACCAUCCAGGAGGCCAAGACCCGCCAUGAACUCGGCUCUCUCUCGCUGCUCGGACAAGGUGGUGCAUCACAGCGUCAGACUCACAGAGGAUGUGUAGCCGAGGCAAUGACACGUGGACGGCGCUGAUGGCGGCCAGAACCUCUUGGGCGUCUUGGUCACACACGGCCAGGCUGAGCACCCCCAGGUCCCGCCACUCCUGCAGCAGCUGUGUGCCGGCACCACUUAAGUGACCCAUGAACCUCUCAAGGAAGAUGAGCUUCGCGCGACGGACGCAAACUUUCGGAGCGGCGGCCAUGGUGGAGGGCUUGGGACACAGUUCUUCUCGCCAGCAGCCUGCAAAGAAAUUUCCCAAAAACAGUUGGCCUAAAUAAUAAUGGCAGAAGUAAGACUAAGCUUUGAAGAAAGAACAUGUCAUAAAGUGUUACUGGAGGCACGAAAAUGUCAAAGAAGUGCAAAGACAAUUCAGAAGACACUUUGACAGGGAUCCACCAAGGUGACGCGCCAUUGCUCGCAUCACAGCUAAGUUUGUACCAGAUGGAACUGUUCACGACCUUCAUAAGCAUGCCUGUGUGGUAGUAGUAGUAGUAGUAGUGGUAGUGGUAGAGGUAGUAUUCAUGAUUUCUCACUACUACUACUACUACUACUACAACAACUACUACUAC